GGGUGUUCCUGAUGCAGUUGGGUGUGGGGUGCAGGGUGUCUGGAAGCUCGCCUUGGCCUGCUCGUGGGCAGGGCCAGACCUGCAUUAGGGGGUGGUCAUUGUUUUCCUGCUUCUGUUUCUUCUCCCUGGUGGGCGAGGCUGGUCUAGAGGCGAGUGCAGGCUUCCUGGCAAGAGGGCCCGUGUCUGCCCACUGGUGGGUGGAGCUGGCCUUGGUCCUCAGGUGGGCUGGGCCAUGUUCAGAGACAGCUGUGGGCUCUUUAGUCUUUAGGCAGCCUGUCUGCUGAUAGGCGGGGCUGUGUCCCCGCCCAGUUAGUUGUUGGCCUAAGGCUUCCCAUUACUGGUGCCUGCAGGCUGAUGGCGGGUGCUAGGUUUUGGGGCUGAAGAAGCAAACUACCAGCCCACAUAGCAGCAGUGUUCCUGGGGCUGAAUGUUCCCCAGCUUGUGUUGACGUUCCCAGGCUGAGCCGCAGCCACACCCUGCUUCUCCAGGAGACUCUCCAAGAGCAGCAGCUAACCAGAUAAUGCUAAUGGCAUGAAGGCAGCCUGUGCCUGGUUCCCUGUGGUAUAUUCACCUGCCCAUCGCUAACAACCACUGCGAUUUGGGGCUCUAUUCCUGCCUUUCCAGCACGCACUCACCCAAGUAUCUACUGAGCAUCUGCAAUGUGGAGAUAAUUGUGCUGGGCCCCGGGAUGACCGAGAAAGACAAGGCUCCUGCACUAGUGGAGAGGAGGCAAUAAACAAACCACGAUACGUUCAGAGAGCGAACUGAGGGCUGGAGGAGCAACAGAACGGGAAAUGAGUGCCGGCGAGGGCAGGGCUGCUGGAGAGGUAAGCGUGACACCCGGACAAUCAGAAGGAUGCGCCUGGAGAAGGAAGAGGGAACAGCCCUCGGUAAGAAGAAACCAGCGUGGGCAGCACACGACACCCACCAUGUACAGACGCUGUGGUCUGACUGUUCAGCAAGCACCUCCUGAGUGAAAUGUGCGCCAGGGCUUCCACGCAGCGUCACACUUUUUCUCUCGCGUUCAGAGGUAGCCACCGGCCACUAAUCUUGACGCAGAAUAGCUCAGUGAUAAAGUGAAUGCACGAAUAGGAGGCGUGGAUGUGUCCAAGGAAAAUCAGGAGGCUCAGAAAGAAGGGAACCUGGGAUCACCUGGAACUCGCUCACCUGGGCAGAUCCUAGUCUCUGGGCUUCAGGGGCCUCGUCUAAGCGGACUGAGGUGCAUUUAUGCUGCCUGGAGCACAGAAGACCCACCCAGACCAUCAUCCAGCAUGUCGAGGAUAAGAUCUAAUGUUCAUUUUAAACGGCUUGGAGGAGAAGGAGAGAGAAGUGCCAAGAACAGACUGUUAUGGCAGGUGACUUACUGCUGUGCUUGGUGGCGGAGGGUACGUGUACCUGAUUGAUCACGGAGUCUAGGGGUGACCUGGGACACUGGUCUGGGUCAGUCCCUCAUGGAGCUUGACAGAUUGAGCUGGAAGGUCUGGCCACCUCCCCUGCUUCCCCCCAGCCCUGCUUACUUGGUCAAGUUCAUUUACUCCCCUUUUCUUCAGCCUCAGCAGCUACGCUCUGACCCAGUAUGUCCCCAUUAGGCCUGGCAUCCUCUCUGUCCUGGUCCCAUGAAUGUGCUGAUGCUCCAACCAGGGGGUGGGGGUGGGGUGGGGAAGGGGGUCCUUCUCUUCCCACGAGCCUCCUACUGUCAGUCCACUCAGCCUCCCUCCCUCUCCCUUUCUCUGCCCUAGCUGGGAUCGGGGCUCCUCCCGUGGGUUCUCACAGCAUCUCUCUAUUAUCAGAAUGGGUUUCCUGCCUGUGGCCCCAAGACUCCUGCACCCUGGUGUAUCUGCCCUGUAUCGUCUCUCCCUUGUGGUAUGAGCAGAACCUGGAAUACGACGGGAUCUUACUCCCAUGAUUACAGGACAGAAUAGACUGGGUCUGCAGAAGUAAGCUGCUCCACACAGCUCAGACCUGAGGGUGGCCUCUGUGAGCUCAGAAGGACCCCGGCCAACAGCCAGCAAGGAAACAUGGACCUCGGUCCUAGAGCUGAAUUUGGCCAAAACCUGAAUGUGCUGGAAGUGCACCCCGACUCCCAGAUGCCAUCACAGCCCAGCUGACACCCGGAUUCCAGGCUUGAGACCCCAAGCAGAGAACCUGCUAAUGCAUGUCCAGACUCCUGACCCGUAUCACUGUCAGCUAAAAAAUGUGUCUUUCUUAAGCUGCAAGAUUCGUGGUGAUUUAUUAAACAGUAGUAGGAAACUAACACAUGGUCUGAGCUUUGAAUGCACUGCCUAUUCCUUGAAGGCAGGAAUGAGGGCUUCUGUAUUCCCAGCCCCACGAGAGUAAUAGAUCCUUUACCUAGUAUCUGCUGAGCGGUCACAGGGACUCUGGAGGUGAGAAGACUGAGCCCUCGAGAAGGGAAAGAUCUUGCCUGAGAUGAUGUGGCAGGUUAAGGACGAGCUGGCGUCCGACCUCAAUGCUUGUCCUCUGUGCCCAUUUAGGCUUUGUGACCUGGGAUGGUCAGCCAGUUCCCUGAGUUUCUGCACAGAUGUCCUGGAGGGAAACCACUAGCCCACGAAGCCAUUUAACACCACAAGCUGUCCCUUGCCAACAAGUGGUGGGACUCACAAAACAAAGAACCUGCUUCUGAGCCACACUCAACACGUGUCAUUCCCAGAUGCCUCCACAUGCAACGUUGCACUCACUCUCCAAAACCCCCAGAUGGCUUACUAUCGGCAGACCUUUUCCUGUCCAAGUGCGUGUUCCUUCCUUUGUUCACUCAUUCUUCAAUCACUCAUAGAUGAUAACAAGUGGCAUGUAUUGAAUUAAGUGUGCCAGCUACUGUUCUCAACACUUUCUAGGCAUUAACUCAUUUCAUCCUAGAAACAACCCCAUGGCAUCUCAUUCAUAGGCUGGACAGGCAUCUCCAAAGUGGCUCAAAGACAGAAUGAGACAAACUCCAUCCCUAGUUGUAGGAGUUGAGGGGGGAAGGACAUGAAGGAAGCUGGGGCGAGGACGGCCUCUGCGAAAGAAGAAGAUGGCCAGGCAAGGUGGGCCGAAGACACACAGGUCAGAUAUAGAAAGACCACAUAGCCCUUUGAAGCCAUUCCCCUUCUGACAGCCAGAGAGAUGUUUUCAAAAACGUAACCUAGAACAUAAAACUUUGUGUAAACUUCUACAGUUAAGUCCUCACAACACUUAGAAUGAAAUCCAAAUAUUUUAUGAGUUUCCAUUAUUUAUAAAUCUUAAUCCAUGCCACUUUCCUCUCAAGCCUCCUGCUUUGCUUCAGCCACACUAGCCUUUGAUCAGGUGUCUGAAUAUGCAAGGCCCUUCCCACCACAGGGCCUUUGCACUUGCUACCGUGUCUGCCUGGAAAACUUCUCUUAGCAACUCACCUGCUUGUCUCCUUUUCUCAUCCUCAGGUCUCUGCAGAAACGUCUCCUCCUUAGCAAGUCUUAACCCCACCACACCACCUAAAGAGGGUCCCUCACUUGACACUGUUAAUAUCACCCUCCAGUCUUUCAAAGCACUUAUCACAGUUAUAAUCAUUUGACUCCAUUAUUUAGUGCUGUUAUACCGCUAGUCUCAUGUUCUCCAUACUGGUCUUCACGUGACAAAUUUAAAACAAUGUAAAGUCCCCACCCAACAAAGAGUCUUAUCAACUGGUUUGCAGUGGAGCCUGACAAUGAAUUUUUUUUUUUAGUUGCCUGCACUCGUGGCGUAUGGAAGUUCCUGGGCCAGGGACUGAAUCCAAGUCACAGC